rnacentral:precursor_RNA from 15 species
AGUAUUUUCCUCUUUCUGGAGCUGAUCCUGAAGCCCUUACUCACAUGAGCAGUCCCACAUAAGUCCUCAAGGUGAGUAAGGGCUGCGAGAUUGGACCCUAAAUACCACUGUUGCGGA